UACGAAGGGGGCUAGCGUUGCUCGGAAUCACUGGGCGUAAAGGGUGCGUAGGCGGGUCUUUAAGUCAGGGGUGAAAGCCCAGAGCUCAACUCUGGAAUUGCCUUUGAGACUGAGUGGCUUGAGUACGGGAGAGGUGAGUGGAAUUCCCAGUGUAGAGGUGAAAUUCGUAGAUAUUGGGAAGAACACCGGUGGCGAAGGCGGCUCACUGGCCCGUAACUGACGCUCAUGCACGACAGCGUGGGGAUCAAACAGG
rnacentral:rRNA from 1 species